AGGACGAACGCUGGCGGCGUGCCUAACACAUGCAAGUCGAGCGGGGACUUACGACGGACCUGAAGUUUCGGAUGGAUGGAAAGAUGUACAGUCUAGCGGCGGACGGGUGAGUAACGCGUGAGCAACCUGUCCCUUACAGGGGGAUAACACAGCGAAAGUUGUACUAAUACCGCAUAAGACCACAGUAUCACAUGGUACAGGGGUCAAAGGAGCAAUCCGGUAAGGGGUGGGCUCGCGUCCGAUUAGAUAGUUGGUGAGGUAACGGCCCACCAAGUCGACGAUCGGUAGCCGACCUGAGAGGGUGAUCGGCCACAUUGGGACUGAGACACGGCCCAAACUCCUACGGGAGGCAGCAGUGGGGAAUAUUGGGCAAUGGGGGGAAACCCUGACCCAGCAACGCCGCGUGAGGGAAGGAAGGUUUUCGGAUCGUGAACCUCUGUCCCAGGUGAAGAGGAAGAGACGGUAGCCUGGGAGGAAGCCCCGGCUAACUACGUGCCAGCCGCGGC
rnacentral:rRNA from 1 species